CACCUAGUGCCGCAGCAAAGAGGACUGGCUCGGGAACCACAUUUUUCCAGUCGUCUAAGCCUCCUUACCGCAUUGAACGAGAUGCACGUUAUAGUCAUUUUUAUUUUGGUGGCCUCCGUUCUCGUUGCUGGGCAAUCUGGUGGCGGCACGAAAGCAAGAAGACGGAGGUUCAUGAAUUAUGGGUGCAGUGCUCCAAUAAUUGAAACUGAGAACUACUGCGCAGCAAGGGCCUUAAAAUACUUUUACAACCGGACGGCGAAUCGUUGCCAGCAUUUCAUGUGGAACGGCUGCUUGCGUGAUGGCGUCUACGACACUCGCAUUGAGUGUGCUGAUAAUUGCAACCCUGACGAAGACGCCGCGGCCUGUGUGAAGCCAAGAAAAAAUCCAUGCAUUCGCUUGCGUGAGCAAUACCAGAAAAAUCAAUAUUUUUACAACAUAACCAGUGGCACCUGCGAAAAGUACAUCAUUUGCAGCAAUGUAGGCGAAUUCAUGGAAGAGAACUCUUUUAAUUCGAAAACGCUCUGCACACUACAAUGUAGAGGCUUUACUUUGGAGCACAUCCAGAACA